rnacentral:rRNA from 1 species
GACGAACGCUGGCGGCGUGCUUAACACAUGCAAGUCGAACGGAAAGGCCCUGCUUUUGUGGGGUGCUCGAGUGGCGAACGGGUGAGUAACAUGUGAGUAACCUGCCCUUGACUUUGGGAUAACUUCAGGAAACUGGGGCUAAUACCGGAUAGGAGCUCCUGCUGCAUGGUGGGGGUUGGAAAGUUUCGGCGGUUGGGGAUGGACUCGCGGCUUAUCAGCUUGUUGGUGGGGUAGUGGCUUACCAAGGCUUUGACGGGUAGCCGGCCUGAGAGGGUGACCGGCCACAUUGGGACUGAGAUACGGCCCAGACUCCUACGGGAGGCGGCAGUGGGGAAUAUUGCACAAUGGGCGGAAGCCUGAUGCAGCAACGCCGCGUGCGGGAUGACGGCCUUCGGGUUGUAAACCGCUUUCGCCUGCGACGAAGCGUGAGUGACGGUAAUGGGUAAAGAAGCACCGGCUAACUACGUG